rnacentral:rRNA from 1 species
ACUCCUACGGGAGGCAGCAGUAGGGAAUCUUCCACAAUGGGCGCAAGCCUGAUGGAGCAACACCGCGUGAGUGAAGAAGGGUUUCGGCUCGUAAAGCUCUGUUGUUAAAGAAGAACACGUAUGAGAGUAACUGUUCAUACGUUGACGGUAUUUAACCAGAAAGUCACGGCUAACUACGUGCCAGCAGCCGCGGUAAUACGUAGGUGGCAAGCGUUAUCCGGAUUUAUUGGGCGUAAAGAGAGUGCAGGCGGUUUUCUAAGUCUGAUGUGAAAGCCUUCGGCUUAACCGGAGAAGUGCAUCGGAAACUGGAUAACUUGAGUGCAGAAGAGGGUAGUGGAACUCCAUGUGUAGCGGUGGAAUGCGUAGAUAUAUGGAAGAACACCAGUGGCGAAGGCGGCUACCUGGUCUGCAACUGACGCUGAGACUCGAAAGCAUGGGUAGCGAACAGGAUUAGAUACCCUGGUAGGAUACAC